GGAAGGAUCAUUACUGAAUUGUCAAACGGGCUGUUGCUGGUCCUCGAACGGGGACAUGUGCACGCUCUGUUUACACAUCCACUCACACCUGUGCACCCUCUGUAGUUUUACGGUCUGGGGGACCCUGUCUUCCUUCCGUAGUUCUACGUUUUUAUACACACACUGUAAUAAAGUCUUAUGGAAUGUAUGCCGCGUCUAACGCAACACAAUACAACUUUCAGCAACGGAUCUCUUGGCUCUCGCAUCGAUGAAGAACGCAGCGAAAUGCGAUAAGUAAUGUGAAUUGCAGAAUUCAGUGAAUCAUCGAAUCUUUGAACGCACCUUGCGCCCCUUGGAUAUUCCGAGGGGCAUGCCUGUUUGAGUAUCAUGAACACCUCAACUCUCAUGGUUUGCCGUGACGAGCUUGGACCUUGGGGGUUUUGCUGGCCUGUGGUCGGCUCCUCUCAAAUGAAUCAGCCUCCCAGUGUUUGGUGGCAUCACGAGUGUGAUAACUAUCUACGCUCGCGGUUGUCCGCCAGGUAACCUUUGGUGACAAAGGUUCGCUGGAGCUCACAGAUGUCUCUCCUCAGCGAGGACAGCUUUUUAACGUUCGAUCUCAAAUCAGGUAGGACUACCCGCUGAACUUAAGCAUAUCAAUAAGCGGAGGAAAAGAAACUAACAAGGAUUCCCCUAGUAACUGCGAGUGAAGCGGGAAGAGCUCAAAUUUAAAAUCUGG
rnacentral:rRNA from 1 species